rnacentral:misc_RNA from 1 species
CACUGUGAAUAAUAAACGUUAAAUGUCGUUUCUUUGUUUACAGAGCAACACAUCGUUUUAUUCCAUUGUCAAUAAGAUCCGUACAUUAUAAAACGACAUUUUUGUUUAUUGAAGUCAGUUGAAAAUGGAGAAGUUACGUUUCGAAUUUACGGUGCUGCCGGGAAGUGAUGGGAAAUCUAAUAUACUGGCCAUAACCUCAAUAACAACAAGCGA